UUCAUGUAAACACUCUACAAACAUGGCAACAGAAUACAAUUAACUAAUUAAGUAUCAAAUUAUACCUCGGAGCCACUAAUCUGAUGCUGAACAACCGAAAUAGACCGCCUAUUCCUCAAUCACUAUCCGAAACAACCCUUGCUGCACUACCAACAUCAUCACCGUAAUUUCUCUUAGACACAGACCUCCCACGCCUCUUAGAACAAAUUCACACUAUCACCACCACCAGAAACAACAACCGAAUUACCACCAUUCAGACACCUCGAAACGGACCUCGGAUAAAUGGCUUAAUAUGUUAUAUUGAUUUAAGCUUCCUUUUCUCCGAUUGGCAUAUGCUCAUUUAGACCUUGUUAUAUCGCAUCGAAUAAAUGGCUUAUUAUAUUGAAUUUUGGAGACUGGGUAGCUUUGUUGAAACACAGAACAUGGUUGGGGAAGGAGAAAUGGAGGGGGUAAAGAAGUGA
rnacentral:lncRNA from 1 species